rnacentral:rRNA from 1 species
UGAGUACGAGACGCUAAGGCGUCGAAGUAGUGUAUGUCAUACUUCCAAGAAAAGCUUGCACUGUCAUUCAUAAAAAAUGCCUGUACCAUAACCGACACAGGUGGGUAGGUAGAGUAUACUAAGGGGCGCGAGAUAACUCUCUCUAAGGAACUCGGCAAAAUAACUCCGUAACUUCGGGAGAAGGAGUGCCUUAUUUAUAUAAGGUUGCAAUAACAAGAUCCAAGCAACUGUUUACCAAAAACACAGGUCUCCGCUAAGUCGUAAGACGAUGUAUGGGGGCUGACGCCUGCCCAGUGCCAGAAGGUUAAAGAAGUUGGUUAGCAAUAGCGAAGCUGAUAACUGAAGCCCUGGUGAACGGCGGCCGUAACAAUAACGGUCCUAAGGUAGCGAAAUUCCUUGUCGGGUAAGUUCCGACCCGCACGAAAGGCGUAAUGAUUUGGAUACUGUCUCGGAGAGGGACUCGGUGAAAUAGACUUGUCUGUGAAGAUGCGGACUACCUGCACCUGGACAGAAAGACCCUAUGAAGCUUUACUGUAACUUGAAAUUGAAAUUGGACUUUAUUCGCGCAGUAUAGGUGGGAGGCGUUGAAAAUAAUCUUGCGGGACUAUUGGAGCCAUCAGUGAGAUACCACUCUUAUAAUGUUAGAUUUCUAACUUUGAAUCAUUAUCUGGUCAAAGAACAGUUUCAGGCGGGCAGUUUGACUGGGGCGGUCGCCUCCCAAACGGUAACGGAGGCGUACAAAGGUUUCCUCUGAACGGGUAGAAAUCGUAUCUAGAGUAUAAAGGCAAAAGGAAGCUUGACUGUGAGACCUACAAGUCGAGCAGGGACGAAAGUCGGUCUUAGUGAUCUGACGGUACUGAGUGGAAAGGCCGUCACUCAACGGAUAAAAGUUACUCUAAGGAUAACAGGCUGAUCUCCCCCAAGAGUUCACAUCGACGGGGAGGUUUGGCACCUCGAUGUCGGCUCAUCGCAUCCUGGGGCGGUAGUACGUCCCAAGGGUUGGGCUGUUCGCCCAUGAAAGCGGUACGCGAGCUGGGUUCAGAACGUCGUGAGACAGUUCGGUCCAUAUCCGGUGUAGGCGUUAGAAUAUUGAGAGGAGCCUUCUUUAGUACGAGAGGACCGAGAAGGACAUACCUCUGGUGUACCAGUUAUCGUGCCAACGGUAAACGCUGGGUAGCUAUGUAUGGAGUGGAUAACCGCUGAAAGCAUCUAAGUGGGAAGCCCACCUCAAGAUGAGUAUUCUC